rnacentral:rRNA from 1 species
AUUGAACGCUGGCGGCAGGCCUAACACAUGCAAGUCGAACGAGUGGCGGACGGGUGAGUAAUGUCUGGGAAACUGCCCCAUGGCGGGGGUUAACUACUGGAAACGGUAGCUAAUACCGCAAACCAUCGGAUGUGCCCAGCUGGGAUUAGCUAGUAGGUGGGGUAAUGGCUCACCUAGGCGACGAUCCCUAGCUGGUCUGAGAGGAUGACCAGCCACACUGGAACUGAGACACGGUCCAGACUCCUACGGGAGGCAGCAGUGGGGAAUAUUGCACAAUGGGCGCAAGCCUGAUGCAGCCAGGCCGCGUGUAUGAAGGAGGCCUUCGGGUUGUAAAGUACUUUCAGCGAGGAGGCGUUACUCGCAGAAGAAGCACCGGCUAACUCCGUGCCAGCAGCCGCGGUAAUUC